rnacentral:rRNA from 1 species
GGUGGGGGAGUACCACCGGGAAACCCGGUGCUAAGACCGCAUACGUCCUGCCGCAUAGCGGCGGCAGGGGAAAUGUCUCGGUCUCUUUGCAAGAGGAGCGGGGACAGCCACGGGAGGGCCUUGCGGCGGAUUAGGUUGUUGGGGGGGUAGUGGCCCACCAAGCCGACGAUCCGUAGCUGGUCUGAGAGGACGACCAGCCACACCGGGACUGAGACACGGCCCGG